UACCAGCACCCCGAGUGGUCGGGACGUUUUAUUGGGCCUAAAGCAUCCGUAGCCGGUUCUACAAGUCUUCCGUUAAAUCCAACUGCUUAACAGAUGGGCUGCGGAAGAUACUAUAGAGCUAGGAGGCGGGAGAGGCAAGCGGUACUCGAUGGGUAGGGGUAAAAUCCGUUGAUCCAUUGAAGACCACCAGUGGCGAAGGCGGCUUGCCAGAACGCGCUCGACGGUGAGGGAUGAAAGCUGGGGGAGCAAACCGG
rnacentral:rRNA from 1 species